rnacentral:rRNA from 1 species
UGGGGAAUUUUGCGCAAUGGGGGAAACCCUGACGCAGCAACGCCGCGUGGAGGAUGAAGUCCUUCGGGACGUAAACUCCUUUCGAUCGGGACGAUUAUGACGGUACCGGAAGAAGAAGCCCCGGCUAACUUCGUGCCAGCAGCCGCGGUAAUACGAGGGGGGCGAGCGUUGUUCGGAAUUAUUGGGCGUAAAGGGUGCGUAGGCGGUUUGGUAAGUCUGAUGUGAAAUCUAUGGGCUCAACUCAUAGUCUGCAUCGGAAACUGCCGGGCUUGAGUAUGGGAGAGGUGAGUGGAAUUCCUGGUGUAGCGGUGAAAUGCGUAGAUAUCAGGAGGAACACCUGUGGCGAAAGCGGCUCACUGGACCAUAACUGACGCUGAUGCACGAAAGCUAGGGGAGCAAACAGGAUUAGAUACCCUGGUAGUCCUAGCCCUAAACGAUGACUGCUUGGUGUGACGGGUACCCAAUCCCGCCGUGCCGUAGCUAACGCGUUAAGCAGUCCGCCUGGGGAGUACGGUCGCAAGGCUG